rnacentral:rRNA from 1 species
AUACGGAGGGGACUAGCGUUGUUCGGAAUUACUGGGCGUAAAGAGUACGUAGGCGGUCUAUCAAGUUGGGUGUGAAAGCCCGGGGCUCAACCCCGGAACUGCACUCAAAACUGAUAAACUAGAGAUCGGAAGAGGUAAGUGGAAUUCCCAGUGUAGAGGUGAAAUUCGUAGAUAUUGGGAAGAACACCAGUGGCGAAGGCGGCUUACUGGUCCGAGACUGACGCUGAGGUACGAAAGCGUGGGGAGCAAACAGGAUUAGAUACCCCAGUAGUCC